UACGGAGGAUGCGAGCGUUAUCCGGAUUUAUUAGGUUUAAAGGGUGUGUAGGCGGACGGUUAAGUCAGUGGUGAAAUCUCAGAGCUCAACUCUGAAACUGCCAUUGAUACUGGUUGUCUUGAGUGUAGUUGAAGUAGGCGGAAUGUGUAAUGUAGCGGUGAAAUGCUUAGAUAUUACACAGAACACCGAUUGCGAAGGCAGCUUACUAAGCUAUUACUGACGCUGAUGCACGAAAGCGUGGGGAGCGAACAGG
rnacentral:rRNA from 1 species